rnacentral:lncRNA from 1 species
GUGCUCAUAGUCAAGUCCUUUAUAUAAGUCUAUUUCAAUUACAGACUCGUGUAAUGUUUUAUAAAAAAAGAACAGAUACUUUUUUUCAAUGUAAUUCUUUAGGUUAAUGAUGGUGCUUCUAUUAAAGUAUGCGUUUAUAACAAAUGAAAGGGUUACUUCUGUUAACUUUAUGUACGCAUCACGUAGUAUUUAUAUUUGUAAAAACCCC